GAGAUGGAGUCUUGCUCUGUCACCAGGCUGGAGUGCAGUGGCGUGAUCUCAGCUCACUGCAACCUCUGCCUCCUGGGGUCAAGCGAUUCUCCUGCCUCAGCCACCCGAGUAGCUGAGAUUACAGGCACGCACCACCAUGCCCAGCUAAUUUUUGUAUUUUUAGUAGAGACAGGGUUUCACCUUGUUGGCUAGGAUGGUCUUGAUCUCUUGACCUCAUGAUUCGCCUGCCUCGGCCUCCCAAAGUGCUGGGAUUACAGGCGUGAGCCACCGCGCCCGGCCCAAUGUUAUUUAAUUCUUACUUUUAUUGGGCCAAGACACAAAAGGGACGCUGAGACUCUGAAGAGAAGGAAUCCCUGUGUGUGCUGAAAAACUAUUCCCUUUGCUAGGCUACACCAAUUUUGACAUUUUAUUGGGCUAAACAAAAGACAAGAAAAAUGCACACAAGAAAAAUGCUAGUAAAAACUUCUUUUACUAGCUUGUAUAGUUGCAUCUGCUUUCUUUUCUUCUUUUUUUUUUUUGAGACAGAGUUUCACUUUUGUUGCCCAGGCUGGAGUAUAAUGGCACGAUCUUGGCUCACCGCAACCUCCGCCUCCCGGGUUCAAGAGAUUCUCCUGCCUCAGCCUCCCCAGAAGCUAGGAUUACAGGCAUGCGCCACCACGCCCGGCUAAUUUUGUAUUUUUAGUAGAGAACGGGGUUUCUCCAUGUUGGUCAGGCUGGUCUCGGAUUCCCAACCUCAGAUGAUCCUCCCGCCUCGGCCUCCCAAAGUGCUGGGAUUAUAGGCGUGAACCACUGUGCCCGGCCGCAUCUGCUUUCUAAUGUAAGAGACUGAUCUAAUAGUCUAGAACCUGACAACUCUUAUGGUAUCAUGGAUUUUGUUUAUAUGCUUUAUGAAGGUCACUGCACUGUGGCAACAGUCCAACACUACUGUACCAGCUCCCUCUGACACGUUCCCCUCCAAACUCACGCAGUGGCCAGCUCACUCAGGGCCUCCUGAUAGCGUAGGUACUCAUUCUGGCCAAAGACCUUAGGAAAGAGAAAGGAAGAGUGAGGAUCUCUCAGUCUGAGGGAUCUCUUUAGUGCCCCGAAGAAAAAACUGGCUUACCCCUGUCCCAUAGCGGGCUGUUUCAUAGCCAUCCAAAAGGGUAUCAAUGAGUGCUUUGCGUACACCCUUGAAAGGCGUACUAGUGUUUCGCAGAUCCAGCAGGUAGGAGCGGAAAUUCUUGCCCAUUAAGGAACGGGGAUGCCGGCCUUCAGAAUGAAAUGGGAUCUCUGUGGAGAAAACAGCACAAUGAUAUCUCUUCUCAUUCUUUAGUCUUUUUUUUUUUAGAGGGAGAUUCUGAUUGAGACCAAAGGUAUAAAGCUGUGCCUGAGUGGUCAUUUGGUGGUAACACCACAGUUGUAAGCUACAUCUAUGACACAUGAUAGUGUCAUCACACAUUUUACCAUCCUGCUUACUCAUCCAUCCUAGGUUUAAGAUAUAAACUGUUUUCAUAGAGAUAAAGCAUAUAUGACAAGUGUUGACAGAAUGGAAAAAAUUCAAGAACAAUCUAUCUUGGGCUUAGUGAAAAAGCAGGUGCCACCUGUCCUUUGUGGAAAAACAAGCAAAUUACUAUCAUCUACUUCAUGAAACUAAAGGUCUCAAGAGAAGAACUUUAAAAAACAAAACACCCAGACUCUUUGGAGAAUAACCUGCUUAUAUCAUUUCCUUCAGCAAAAUCUCUAAUCUAGUACUUUCAAAACUCUAGAAUUUCCUACUAGCCAGGGAUGUGCAGAAAGGACAAAUCCUAACAUACAAAGUGGGUUCAUUACUCUGUUCCCUAGGUGGGCUUUCAGGAUCCUAGAAUGGACCCUGUCAGGUAGCCCUUACCAGAGGUACGAAU
rnacentral:lncRNA from 1 species